GAAAUGCGAUAAGUAAUGUGAAUUGCAGAAUUCAGUGAAUCAUCGAAUCUUUGAACGCACAUUGCGCCCGCCAGUAUUCUGGCGGGCAUGCCUGUCCGAGCGUCAUUUCAACCAUCAAGCCCCCGGGCUUGUGUUGGGGACCUGCGGCUGCCCGCAGGCCCUGAAAACCAGUGGCGGGCUCGCUGUCACACCGAGCGUAGUAGCAAUCACCUCGCUCAGGGCGUGCUGCGGGUUCCGGUCGUUAAACAGCCUUACAAAACCCAAGGUUGACCUCGGAUCAGGUAGGAAGACCCGCUGAACUUAAAC
rnacentral:misc_RNA from 1 species